rnacentral:rRNA from 1 species
CGAGCGCAACCCCUUUCCUUAGUUGCCAGCACGUUAUGGUGGGGACUCUAAGGAUACCGCCUGGGACAACCAGGAGGAAGGUGGGGAUGAUGUCAAGUCAGUAUGUCCCUUAUGUCCAGGGCUACACACGUGUUACAAUGGCAAGUACAAUGGGUCGCCAACCCGCGAGGGGGAGCUAAUCCCAAAAAACUUGCCUCAGUUCAGAUUGGAGUCUGCAACUCGACUCUAUGAAGGAGGAAUCGCUAGUAAUCGUGGAUCAGCACGCCACGGUGAAUACGUUCCCGGGUCUUGUACACACCGCCCGUCACGCCAUGGAAGUCAGCAGUACCCAAAGCCGGUGGCCUAACCUUCGGGAGGGAGCCGUUUAAGGUAAGGCUGGUAACUGGGGCGAAGUCGUAACAAGGUAGCCGUACCGGAAGGUGCGGCUGGAUCACCUCCUUU